rnacentral:misc_RNA from 1 species
UCUCCGUAGGUGAACCUGCGGAGGGAUCAUUACUGAGUGAGGGCUCACGCCCGACCUCCAACCCUUUGUGAACACAUCUUGUUGCUUCGGGGGCGACCCUGCCGGCACUUCGUCGCCGGGCGCCCCCGGAGACAUUCUAAACUCUGCAUCUUUGCGUCUGAGUCUUAAUCAAAUUAAACAAAACUUUCAACAACGGAUCUCUUGGUUCUGGCAUCGAUGAAGAACGCAGC